rnacentral:rRNA from 1 species
CCUACGGGUGGCUGCAGUGAGGAAUAUUGGUCAAUGGACGAGAGUCUGAACCAGCCAAGUAGCGUGAAGGAUGACUGCCCUAUGGGUUGUAAACUUCUUUUAUAUGGGAAUAAAAUGUUCCACGUGUGGCUUUUUGUAUGUACUUUAUGAAUAAGGAUCGGCUAACUCCGUGCCAGCAGCCGCGGUAAUACGGAGGAUCCGAGCGUUAUCCGGAUUUAUUGGGUUUAAAGGGAGCGUAGGUGGGUUGUUAAGUCAGUUGUGAAAGUUUGCGGCUCAACCGUAAAAUUGCAGUUGAUACUGGCAGUCUUGAGUACAGUAGAGGUAGGCGGAAUUCGUGGUGUAGCGGUGAAAUGCUUAGAUAUCACGAAGAACCCCGAUUGCGAAGGCAGCUUACUAGACUGCAACUGACACUGAGGCUCGAAAGUGUGGGUAUCAAACAGGAUUAGAUACCCGAGUAGUC